CCGGGGUCCACGUACCUGUGAGUGUAUAUAAGGAGGUUCAGAGAUGAUGAACCUCACAGCCCUGCACACUCAGGCAGCUCGAGAAGUGAAGGAGACGCACAGCAGCAGAGAUCCUUCAUAUCUGAGAAGAACAAAUCAGUUGAAGACUGAGCCUUCAGUAGAUCCUCCACUCAAUAAUUUAAAAGCUUUAAGAUGAAGACAAGUGUUGCCAUCCAGUGCAUCGUUCUCCUGGCCUGCAUGGCCCUUUGCACUUCACAUGUUAUUCCAAGGUGCCGGUGUUUGAAGACCAGUAAGUCUGUAAGAGGUCCCAUCACUGAAGUUAAGGUGGAUGAGCCUCGUCCAUACUGCAACAGGAGAGAAGUCAUGUAAGUGCCCACAGUGACAGGAGCACAUUAUUAAUAAGAGCUCAGUCAUUAAUAAGGAUUGUUUAUAAAGUGGUUUUAUAUCAAAGCUUUCUUUACAUGUUACAGUGUCACACUGAAGGAUGGGAGUGAACGGUGUCUCGAUCCUCAGUCUAAAUUCAUCAUAAUGCUGCUAGAAAAACUGAGGCAGAAGAAAAGUCAGCAUAAGACGACCGUCAGCCCCCAAACAACCACAUCAUCAGCCACAGUGUCAAACUCAUUAUGAUGCACUUUGCAUGUUUAUUACUGUUACACAAAAGAAACCAGACAUCAUUCAAUGAGAAGAAGAAGCAGCCGAGAUCCGGUGCAGAUUUGUCCACCACAUCCCACCGUGGUCUAUGGGACUGAAAUCUGGUGACUCUGGAGGUCAUUUACAUGCAGUCAUCUCACUGCCAUGUUCAGGACACCAGCUUGAGUUGUGAGAUAUGGUUCAUUAUACUGCAGGAAGUAGCCUUCAGAAGAUGUGUACACUGUGGUCAUAAAGGGAUGGACAUGGAAACAGUAAACAGUGAACAUUGUUCAGCUGUUGGACUGGAUACAUGUUUAAGUAUUUGGGAUUUUUUAAUCUUUUUUUUAAUGCACUUAUCAUCAAGAGUGGCUCCUCCAGCUGAUUUUAAACCAAAGCUCUCCAAACCAGCUGAUAUGAGAGAUCCACUUGAGCUCGCUUCAUAGUUCACCCCUCUGUUUUCCUUCCCUCGAGUGCAGCCUUUGUGUUUUGUGUUUUAUUUCAUUUCAUCGUUGGUCUGUUCUGGAUUAUUUUUAUAACGUGUAUAUUUUUGGAUUCUCAGUGACUGAAAUAAAGGUUGUUUUCUGUUUGCUUCACUUUCUU
ensembl:lncRNA